AGUAGUUUCGCUUCUUCGGUGCAGUUGAGUUUUUUGACUGUUCUUGUGAACAUGUCUUGCGACGUUUCGUGAAGAAAGCCCAUUGGCUUGUUUACAAUGUACUAGUAUUUGCUUUGGUUCGGUGCUUGCCGAAUGAACCUCUUCUCAUUUGAGGCUACUUCAUCCGUGACCAGCCGUACUUUGGCUUGGUCGCGGAGCUUGCUAAACCGGUAACCCAUGAUUGCCAUCGCUGCCUGUUCUACCAGGCUCGCCCUGUAUGCCCGAACGACAAGAAGCAACAGGGCAGUUCGUCACCUACAUGAAUCAGUCACGGAUGGAGCAGACUCACCUUAGCUCCACGUGGUCCCUGUGGUCCUUGUGGUGCCUGUGCACACAAAGGCACACACAGGCACACACAUAUGCGAAGUGAAGAAUCACACACAGUACAAUGUGUAUGCUCACCACAUCCAUAUUCCAUGGAUAGGCUAGUUUGGUUUGAAGAGACCUUACAAACCAAGCUAACCCAGCAAGUAGUCCCCUGUAAAGGACAGCCAGCACUGAUGUCAGGAAAAGUUUAAUCUCAUCUGGCAAUCAUUCCCGACGUUAAGUGUUAAUCUCAGCUAGGGUUCUCGGGACAAGAGCUGAACUCUAUUUGAAAAUCACAUAGGAUUACUCAAGGAGACACGUCAUCCCUAUGAUCCAAGGAGAUUCAUGCACAAUGGUCAACUACAGAGGAAGAAAACCAUGGGAAAUUGGUCUGAAUGAUGUGCUCGUCCCCAUGAAGUAAAAAAGGAUACAGAAGAAGUGAGAAACACGGCCAGUCAGCCUGCUUUACAACAUCCAUCAGUGCUCCGCUCAUCUUCACGUAAAGUAAAAAAUGAUCAUGGUGUGCGUUCCUUAUUUCCAUAGGUAGUGUCGUAGUCGUUGUAGUAAAUUGUGGUGUCUUCAAAUGAGGCUGAGUCAAGUCCCCACCAUACUCGUAUAAUUAUGUAGGCCCUGAUAUUGAGAAAUGGCUUUUGUUGCAAGGAUACUAUUUAGUUAGACAACCCAGUUUAUAGGUGCAUCCUGGUGAUCAUGUGUGCUUACAACGGAGCUGUCAUCUCUGAAGUCCCAAGCGCCUCUAAUACUCUAGUCCUCAUUGUCAGCUCUGAAAUAGCUCGUGUGUGGCUGUCAGUGUUUCUGUAAAAUUCUCCUUUCUUCAGAAGUUCAGAGCUACCCUGACCCACGAAUACCUAAUGUCCGGUGUCAUUUAUGGUCAUCAUGGCAAUCACAUUGUGGCAACACUGAUGUCCCGUGCGUGUCCUCUGGUUUCGCCCGCCAGUUGCCUGCCUCACUGUCCAGUCGCCAGUAUGGCUAUUCCCACAUCGUUCUGUGACGUUCUUGUGAGUCUGUCUUCACUUCUGACAACUCAACCCUGACUCGCUAAUACUCGCUAACGGUGUGCUCUGUCCAUUAGUCUGAUGUCAUUAAUGUUCAUCAUGGCAAUCACGUGCUGUAUCCAAGUAAGUCAACUCCGAUGUCCCGUGCGUAUCCUGUGGAUCCACUCACCGUUCUGUUCUAUUGCCAGUAUGGCUGUUCCUACAUCGUGGUGUGACGUCGUAUCGGCAUUUCCGGCAUUCCCGUAAGCCUGUCUUCUCAACCGAUGAUAGUUAACGACUCAAGUGCUAAUUGCUUCACCAUCGUGGUGUGAUGUGCACCUCAGUUCAACGUUAAGCUGCUAAUCUCUUACGGUAUGUGGUAGUGUGUAGCAUGUUCGCUAGUAUCAGACUGGGCCGGGUUACCAUAGAUCACUGUUAUGUCACAGCUCUCACUUGCUUGCCACUCCUUCGUGAUACCAUUAGAGUGCACACUCCUGUCACCAAGAGUAUACAGUCAUGCCAUGCCAUGUUCUUCUCCAUUCACGCGCAGAACCUUUUUCUUUUUUUUGGGAGGGUGCUGUGGUGUUUUUUUUGUCUGUACUCUUUUUGUUCUUUAGAGAAGUUGGAGUCAAAACGCGGCCCACUGCCGCAAGAUAACGCACCCUCAACUCGCACCUUGGUGAAACUGUCUGUAUUAGCAUUUCUGUGCCUGCAAGUAAAUAUAUCCAAGCCGUGACUAUAGAGAGGCCUUGUAUUCUUAUCACGGCUUCUGAGCACUAGUACCUGGUGUCCCGAGGUACCUUAAGUUUGUAUUUUCUAAGAAGUUACCCAAGUAAAAUUGUUCCUCUACUACACACAGAGUGUAAAGCACGGUGUUCGGGUGUGUGCGUUUUCUUUGGGGAUUGGUUGUCUUGUGUUGCGUGCGAGUUCUCUACUAGGCCCACCAGCAUGUGCCAGUACGUCAGUCAGAUGUAGUUACUACGAAGAAAACCAUGGACUAUGGGUAUCGUAAGCUCGACAGAUAUCAAGCCAAACAUGUAACAACCAUGGGUAUCGUAAGCUCGACACAGAUAUCAAGCCCAGCUUGUAACAACCAUGCAGUACAGUUGAUGUCUUGUAUGUGGCUUGGACAGGGUGCUUCAGGCAACAGUUAGAUUACUGGUUCUUGACGUCCCUAGAGUUAUGUUCCAUCCUUCGAUCACACUGGGCAUGCUGCAGACCAAUAGGUCAAAUCCAGCACUGCACACCAUGCAUCACGAUAGGUCUUGGGAGGGUUGUGUGCUUCUUCUUUUCGUCCAAGUUAUUUAUCCCUAGGUCUCGUCAAAGCCUCACCAAAGAUCAGAGUACAUACACAAGAAAACGGUGCCGAAUUCAUCUACCAAUUCUGCAAUUGGAAAACAUCGCAGACAUUCACAAGACCACGAUCUGGUAAAUGUAGUUUGCCAUGGUUAUAAAAGUAUAAGUAAAUAGUUGGCUAAGAUACUUGUUAUAACACAAGGUACCUGUUCGUGCUCAGCAUGCCUACUUGUUUGCAGAAACCUAGGUGUACACACUUAGCUCCUCUCUUCAAACGAUACACAGACAGCCUUUGUUUGCCUUCGAGAAUGUCGCUGAAGAAAUUUAGUUUCUAGCUGCAUUGUUCAGCUCUACUUUCUUGAAGGGGUGUUAGGUUGGGGUGGAGGUGUACCUGUGCUCUUUUCUCUGUUUUUCACCAGGCCUUCCAGAUCUCGUGGAACAGCAGUGAACUGCACCACACACCAUGCACCACCCAUUGAAACGCAAUGUCGUCUGAAAGAGAAGCCCGGAAACACGGUCCAGUGUGCCCCCGGUGCUUUGGGCACCAUGUUUCUUCUUCUUCUUUUUUUGGUUCUUUUCUCUUAGUAAUCAAGGCCUCCGUAAACCGGCAAAAGGUGUUUGGUCUACUCUGCAAGCCAUCCUCUUCCUAGCUUUGGCAUGUUUUCUUGAGUCGUCUCGUAGUAUGAACGGCCACAAACUCCACGUAAAGAUCCCACUGCAGUAAGACAUAUUGAUCAGACAUAGCACUCCUGCUCUAACAUUUAGCAGCAGUCUGUUUUGCCCAUGUCAAGAGUCCUGCAUGUGUACCUGCUUCUACCUUGGUGUUUGGCUGGGUUCGUCAGGGGGCCCGUCUUCCUUUUUCUUUUGUUUUGUUUUUGUUUGAUUCAUCUCCCCCUCUGUGGCAGGUAUACAUGUACCGCAUAUGCUGCUCUUACUACACACAGUGGUGACAAGACAUCGUAUUUUCCAAGCACACUGAAGUAAGGUCGCGGACUAUCACAAACAGCUGUUCUUCGUAAAUCACUACAUCGCCUGGCUGGUUUGGUAAUGUCAGCCUAAGUCCUCUCUCUAAGUCACUUCAACACACUGAUCACACACCGUCCUGCUAAAAAAUUAGAAAAAAACUGACGUUGCCUGCACGAUCAGAUGAAGUCAAGGCAAUACACAACACUGCAACCUCCAACGUAAUUGUUAAUCACGUUCAACAUUCCACACACAGCCCUGUCUGCUACUUCAAGUACCUUGCCUAUCAAGUCAUUUCUACACACCCACCAGGUUCGUACGUUUGCGACAGGUUUAGGGUUGGAAGAGGGUGUUUUCCUUGUCUGCCUUUACUGAUGCCUCUCGUUAGGAUGAGGCAAGCUGAAAGUAUCGUUCUCCGAGGGCUCGACUCAAGGCAAAGAAACCACAUGAAGAAACAUCUGUAAAAAGUAAACUGAUCACGGUUUGUAAAAUCUGUAAGUCUCAAGUUAGCUUGGCCACUUUGUCACAUGGCAAUUCUUGUCAAGUCAGAGUUCUGAAACGUUCGAAUCUUCAUUCCAUUAUGCACCACACUGUUUGCAGUGAAGGGUGUUCUUGUCAGGUCGGUCAGGGGUUCUGAAACGUUCAAAUCUACUUCACUCCAGUGUUCUGCACCACGCUGUUUGCAGUGUUUGGCCCUCCUCUUGAGGGGGUGGGGGUUGCCAUGGAGCUGUGCUCUUCUUUCUUUCUUUUUUUUAGUAGGCACAUCUGAAGGAAAAAGUCUCUGGACGAGGAGGUUUCCACGCACUCCUUGUUUGGGGGCGUCUCCGUGUUUCUUUUUCUUGAGUCCUCUACUAGUAUUUAGGGCUCCAUGGGCAGUCUGCGUCAGAAACGUGUUGGUUACAUACACCACAGGCAUUCAGAAGGCCAUGAUCUGGUAAAGGUAGAUUUGCACAGUUGUAAAAGUGUAGGUAAAUCAGUCAAGGUACACAUAUCGUAGCAAGAUACCUCUCACCUCUCUUGGUCAGCAUGCCUACUUGUACGCACACUCAGUUCGUCUCUCACAUGAUACAUGGACAGCCUUUGUUUACCUUCAAGAAUCUCGCUGAAGAAAUUUAGUUUCUAGCUGCAUUGUUCAGCUCUACUUUCUUGAAGGGGUGUUAGGUUGGGGUGGAGGUGUACCUGUACUCUUUUCUCUGUUUUUCACCAGGCCUUCCAGAUCUCGUGGAACAGCAGUGAACUGCACCACACACCAUGCACCACCCAUUGAAACGUAAUGUCGCCAUCUGAAAGAGAAGCCAGGGAACCACGGUCCAGUCAGCGCACGGUGCUUUAGGCACCUCCAUGUUUCUUCUUCCUUAUAAUUAUAUUGAUUCUUGUGUAUUAGUAAUCAAGGCCGCAAUGGACCAGUGGUCUCGUAGUAUGAAGAAGGGCUAUGAACUCCACGCUACAAACUCCACGGAUAAAUCCCACAGUAGUAAGACACAUUGAUUGGAUGCUUAGCACUUCUGUCCCGUACAGAGAAGGGAAUCUGAAGCACUUCUAAUCAGAAUUUCGCACGUUCACACGCUCUUGUUCUAUGUCUGCGAGGCAGCAACAGUCGGGAGUUGCCUCAAAAUCUUUCUAUUUCUGGCUGGGUUCUGCUUUUCGCUGCGAGGGGACGGGCUUUCUUUUUGUUUUUGUUUUUUGUUUGUUUUUGUUUUUGUUCGAUUCAUCUUCCCUCUCUAGCAGGUAUACAGCAUAUGCUGUCCUUACUACACAGUGGUGACAAGGCAUCGUAUUAUUCCAUACACACUGAAGUAAGGUCGUGGACAAUGACAAACUGUUCUUCGAUAAUCACUACUGGCUGGCUGGCGCCGUAAUGUCAACUAAGUUACUCUUCGACGCGAUGGCGUCUAUACAACAUAUUUUGACAGUGUCUAGGUAUAUUUCAACCUAUACUUCUUGGCGCGUUACUGUAAGCAAACCAAACCCGAUCACAGGAAGGACAACUGAUCACACACCUGGUAAAACAAAAUAAAUAAGAAACUGGUGCUGCCUGCACUACUGUAACAAAUCAAGGUGAUGCACAACACUGCAACCUCCCACUGUAAUUGCUGAUCAUGUUCAACAUUCCACACAAUAAUGUCCAGCGCUGCAUUGCCUAUCGGGUCAUUUCUACAGUCCAGACAGUUCCGUACUUCGCCAUCAUGUGCAUGUGUAGGGUUAGGAGAGGGUGUUCUCGUUGUCUGCUUCUACCAGUGCCACUCCAGCUGGGAAUAGGCCAAGCUGAAUAGAUCACUAUCAAAGGGCUCCUCUCAAGGCAAAGAAACAAACGAAGAAAUGUACAGUGGGUUUCACUGUCCGGAACGAAACACAAAAGGGAAUUUGGAUCAUGGUUAGUAAAACUGUAAGUAGCUUGGCCAUCGAGUCACAAAGCUAUUCUUGUCAAGCCAGUUAUGAAAUCUACUUCUCUCCAUUGUUAUGCCAGCAACACGGUUUGCAGUGUUUGGUUCUUCUCUUGAGGGGGAUAGGGGUUGGCAUGGAGCUGUGCUCUUUUUCUUUCUUUUCUUUUAGUAGGCACAUCACAUCUGAAACAAGGGUAAUUGUACAACAGCCAGCCUCUGAAGGAUGCAUCUCCAUUGUAAAGCCAGGGAGAUUUCCGUCCACCGCUUGCCUUCUAUUGGGCAUCUCCGUGUUUCCUUUUCUUGAGUCUUCUCUAUUAGUAUCUAGGCUUCCACGGGCAGUCUGCAUCAGAAACUGUUGGGUACAAGCAAAUGCGCGAGAUCCACCAUUGAUGGCUCCGCACUUUCCUGGAAAAAAGCGCACAUCAGUAAGGCUAUUGACGUAUUGUGUAGUACAGCGCUGCUGUUCCAAGUCCACAACGCAUUGUUGCCCAGAUUUGACUACAUUGGUGAUAUGCAGAUAUCGGUGCUCGAUAUCCUUUUUAUUUCGGGUAGGGGGAGUUGUUUUUUUUUUUUGUUUGGUUUGUUUCUUUGUUUGGUUUGUUUCUCCUUCUAGUCAGGUGCACACCCACACACUGAAAGAUGACCACAGAACAAGCCAAGCUAAUACCAAGAUCGCAUCUGUAACUCCUUGACAAGGUCUGGCCAAAAGUACAUACACAUCUUUCUUGGAAAAAGUAUUUUAGGCAACCCACCUAAUCACCAAAAGGAUAAUUUACAACCCGGUCUUCAACACUCCCUUCCUUGCCAUAUGGUAUAAAGUCAGUGUCUAUUGUCAUGUCAACAAACGUCUUUCAAACCACUUGAUCACAUGAAGUACGAGUGAUCACAUACCCGGUCACAGUAAGUGGUUGAUUCUCCUUCCAAUGUAAAUAAUAUAGACAAGGCUGGGUGGUCCUUUGGAUUCUGACAAGCUAGAUGAUUCGUAUCUGCUACCAACCAAUACCAACCACAGGACCGUACUCUUUUGUUUUUUUUCUACACUGUCAACAUCACAGAUCCCGAUAUCGACCAAGGUCGGAGAAACUCUCCAAAUUGUCUAAACGGUGUACACGGGUCAUCACAAUCAAGUCUAAGGAAAGCCGUUGACAUCCUAAAGCGAAUGUGUAAUGUGAUCUCCGCCUCGUAUGUAUGGAUGGUCCCCGAUAUUCCUGGUCUGCUCCUCCGGUUUUGUGCUCGUGUACUCUUCUGUCUUCUUGCUCAGUAGGCAUACCUUGUCUCUGACAAACUAGAUCCACACCACACUCUGCCCCGUUACGGCAGUCGUCUCUGUCAGGUCGUCUACACGAAGGGGAAGGAAAAGCUGAUGUCCUGAACAGGCUACAGCAGCAGUCGGGUCUCUUGUUUCUUUUUGUCUUCUCUCUUUCCUCUGAGUAUGCAAGUGUGCAGGCUCCAUUGUCCAUGGUCUCGCUGGGAAAUCCAGAACAAGUAAAUGUGUCCGCAAACAAGUCACAUCCAAAUAGCCUAGAGGAGAUCAGUAAGACAAAUCGCUCUCAGUGUUCGUGUAUCCAGUUAUUCGUUUUCAUGACGCUUGGUUUGUGGCUGGUGAAUUUUUUGUUUUGUAUCCUUCCUCCGUUGUCAGGCAUAACAUUGUCUUCCACUUCUCACAUGGAUAGCUGGCAACUCGCAUGCCUAUUUACUCGCUGACAUAAGGCUAGUUUUGCCAUCCCCGUUCCUGCUGCCCUUGUUUGCUCUUGGGGUUUUGUGCUGCUGUGCUCUUCUGUCGUGUGUUGUUCAGUAGUUAUACCUCCCCUCUGACAAACUAGAGCCGCAGCUCGUGCUGCCCUGUGAAGGCAGUUGUCUCAGUCAAGUCGUCUGCAGGAGGGGGAAGGGAAAGCGCCUGUCCCAUAUUUGCUACGCAAAAUGGGUCUCGGCCGUAAGAAAGAAAUGCACAUGGCUUUUGUGCCUUUGUCGUUUUUUCCUCGUUUUUCUAUCUUUCUUCCAAAUAUGCAAGUGUGCAGGCUCCACUGUCAAGGGUCUCGCUGGGAAAUCCAGAACAAGUAAAUGUGUCCGCAAACAAGUCACAUCCAUAAAGCCUAGAGGAGAUCAGUAAGACAGAUCGCUCUCAGUGUUCGUACAUCAAAAUAUUAUUAUUUGUUUUCAUGACACUUCAUGCAUCUUGUGGCCGGUGAAAUUUUAGUUUUGUAUCCUUCCGCCAUUGUCAGGCAUACUUGAAUGGGGUCUUCCACUUCCCACACGGAUAGCUGGCAACUCGCAUGCCUAUUUACUCGCUGAAAUAAGGCUAGUUUUGCCAUCCCCGUUCCUGCUGCCCUUGUUUGCUCUUGGGGUUUUGUGCUGCUGUGCUCUUCUGUCGUGUGUUGUUCAGUAGGCAUACCUCAUCUCUGACAAACUAGAGCCGUAGCUCGUGCUGCCCUGUGAAGGCAGUUGUCUCAGUUAGGUCGUCUGCAGGAGGGGGAAGGAAAAGCGCCUGUCCCAUAUUGGCUACGCAAAAUGGGUCUCGGCCGUAAGAAAGAAAUGCACAUGGCUUUUGUGCCUUUGGUCGUUUUUUCCUCGUUUUUCUAUCUUUCAAGUGUGCAGGCUCCACUGUCCAGGGUCUAGCUGGGAAAUCCGGAACAUAUAAAUGUGUCCGCAAACAAGUCGCAUCCAUAAAGCCUAGAUGAGAUCAGUAAGACAAAUCGCUCUCAGUGUUCGUACAUCCAGUUAUUUUUCAUUUGUUUCUAGAUACUACACCGGUCUUGGCUUUGGGGCAUUGUUUUGGCUGUUCUCUAUUGCCUUCCCGUGUUGUCAGGCAUAGGUGACCGGGUUCUUCCAUGUUCCGCACUGGAACUCAAAUGUCUGUCUACUCGCUGAGACACGGUGUGGGUCAAGCUGGUUCACCCGCCAUCGGAUGACUUCAGACCAGGUCUCCAGAAAUACAAAAUCAAGUCUUACGUAAAACCAUGUAAGGAUUUUCCCGUUUCUUUGUAGGCCUGUGGUUCUUCCACUACGCAACUACACGUCCUAAAUCAGUUUACAGGUUUCAUCUCUCUUUUUUGCGUCCUUUCUUCUAGACACUUCAACUAAGAACAUGCCUCCUAGCGGUGAAAAUAUAUAUGUUCUCUUUAGUGGGUCCAGGUGUUUGUAGGGCUGUGGUCUUCUGUCUCUUCGUUAGGCAAACACCGAGAGUGUCUAAGAAGCAGGACCUUGGGCUGCCUCGCCGGUGCACAUGUCUGUCUACUCGCUGAGACACGGUGUGGGUCAAGCUGGUUCACCCGCCAUCGGAUGACUUCAGACCAGGUCUCCAGAAAUACAAAAUCAAGUCUUACGUAAAACCAUGUAAGGAUUUUCCCGUUUCUUUGUAGGCCUGUGGUUCUUCCACUACGCAACUACACGUCCUAAAUCAGUUUACAGGUUUCAUCUCUCUUUUUUGCGUCCUUUCUUCUAGACACUUCAACUAAGAACAUGCCUCCUAGCGGUGAAAAUAUAUAUGUUCUCUUUAGUGGGUCCAGGUGUUUGUAGGGCUGUGGUCUUCUGUCUCUUCGUUAGGCAAACACCGAGAGUGUCUAAGAAGCAGGACCUUGGGCUGCCUCGCCGGUGCACAUGUCUGUCUACUCGCUGAGACACGGUGUGGGUCAAGCUGGUUCACCCGCCAUCGGAUGACUUCAGACCAGGUCUCCAGAAAUACAAAAUCAAGUCUUACGUAAAACCAUGUAAGGAUUUUCCCGUUUCUUUGUAGGCCUGUGGUUCUUCCACUACGCAACUACACGUCCUAAAUCAGUUUACAGGUUUCAUCUCUCUUUUUUGCGUCCUUUCUUCUAGACACUUCAACUAAGAACAUGCCUCCUAGCGGUGAAAAUAUAUAUGUUCUCUUUAGUGGGUCCAGGUGUUUGUAGGGCUGUGGUCUUCUGUCUCUUCGUUAGGCAAACACCGAGAGUGUCUAAGAAGCAGGACCUUGGGCUGCCUCGCCGGUGCACAGGUCUUCAGCCACAGAAGCGCACUGGGUGCACAGCGCAAGUUGGUGCCGCGCAUCGGGCUGUUCUUUUUCUUCUGUUUCUGGAGUCGUUGUAUGUAGAGCUACUUUGAAGUAACCAUUGCUAGGCAUGGCCUUCACUACACCGUGGUCCCAGGCAAGCGUGCACUCGCUGAAGUGAGGUUUGCUUCAUCCCACUGCCUAAUUCAACAUAGGUAGUAAGUGCAUAUAUGUCAAUAUUGAAGUUCCAUGUAGUAGAAUUCCAAAGCAUUGCCGAUUUCGGCCAACUACUUUGUCAGGUGGUGAUAUGCUGCCAAGUGUCUAUUCCCCUGUUCAGCAUGGCGUAAAUAAGGGUAGCAUGUAGGGGAUUUUGGUUUUUGUCUGGUUUUUCAAGUAAUGCAGCAGGAUAAAGUCACUUCUACGUCACCAGAUGACCAGCCACGUCUCCGGGUACUCGGCGUCGGGGCUCUAGUCAAGAAAAUUAAAUACGGGACAAAAGUUCUGAAGAAACGUUAUGGAAGAAAAGGUGUUGUUUUUAAACUAUAAUUUUCUGGCCUAGUGGUCUACAUAUUACCGGUGUGUGUAAAACGAUUUCUGCUGAAACCUUUUCUACUAACACUAAACGAUCAAGUUUCUUUCGAUGUCUCCCCUAACGUACGUUUACUGCGUUGUGUAACUUUUACCUCCUGUCCUGCUUCCACCGACAUAAAAGGCAGUUCUGCUAGGGUCUUUAUUUGCUUGUACAAAGAAACUAAAGAGAGGGUUGCUAUCGCCUACACCCGUCAUCUUCGUUUGUAGGGCAGUUAUCUGAGUGGUGUGAAAGUGAGGCUGUCUGGUUGUGUUCUUUCUUCGUAUGGGGUUGCCCUUUCUUGUGGGGUGUAUUCUGUGUCGGCUCUUGUUCUUGUUUGCUGGACUGCAGUAGGCUCGGUGGGUUCAGGGUCUCCGUCAGUUCGUUGACUCCAAGGAAGACGUCUUCUGGACAUGCCUAAGUAGACCUGUGUUGCUGUUUAGUUGCUUGCAUGCUCAUCCGGUGGUCAAUGAUAGGGAAGGGUACAGGUCCUAACAUUCACACUGCAUAGGUAAUGGCUAAUUCUCAGAUGACAUUUUGACGAAUGAGAUCAGCUCUGAUGUCAGUCAACUUGAAGGCAGACAAGACAGCAUGGUAAUCUUUUUUUCUGCUGCAGUCCACGGAGGUGAAUUGUGCUCGGGCAACUUUAUUGGGAAGGGGAUGAGGACUUAUUUCUUCUGGGUUUCGCCUUUUAGGGACACAUUUGACGGCUGAUGUCGCCUUCCGGCUCUCAAGGUCAUGUUUUCAGCUUCAUGCUGGCUGGUUGCUGGACAUGCAGGUAAACAUUGCUUCUGCGUCGUGGCUGUAGUUUCUGUACGUUCUGCAUGAUCCCUUCUAGACAGCUCUUUUCGACGUAGCCUUUUCACAAUGCCCUUAAUCUCCAUUGCUCUGCGUUGCCUCUUUCGUGGUUGUCCUUGCUUCCUGUUGCUCCAAGUCUAAUCCCUUCAGCAUUUUAGUGUCUUCGUACAUACUCUCUUUCGUGAAUUUCUUCCCGUCUUCUUUGUGACUGUUCAUGGUUCUGUUGCAACCUGCUAUCAUCAUCACCUGGUAAAACCCAAAUGUCACUCUCGUGUCGCCGUUUAGUUGUGUUUGCGCAUGCCAUUGCAGCAGAGACAAAAGGUGAACAUUGUCUAUUGGCGUAAGCAUGACCAUUUGCCUAACUUCCUCUGUCCGUUGGCACUUGUUCAGCCUGUAAGCUGUUUGAAGCGCAUUUUUCAGCUUUUUAAGAUCACCUGGGUGUGCUCUUCGGCGGGAUUUUUGCUGGGUCUUCCUGUUUGUGUAUGCGGUUUCUUUCUUUACAUUCAGGAAUUUGCUUUUUGCUCCGUCGGCGGGUUGGUAGGUAGCGUAAGCUGUCGUCGUGUUUUCACCUGUUAUAUUUGCUUUGAGUGCAGCUUUUAUUCUAUUGCCGUGUGUUUGGGUGGAGGUAUUCCAUGGUUUCUAUUGGCGUGUUUGGGUGGAGGUAUUCCAUGGUUUCGCUCCUGCCUGUAAUCUGUGGAUGUCGUUUUCGUAUGUUUCCUAUUUUCACGAGAUUUUAAUCUUGGAUUGCUUUCGUACCCAUCUGCUAGCACUUCGAUUUUCUUCGCUAUCAUGUGCACGCUUGGUGUCCCUGUUGUGUCUGUGUCCUUCAUGGCUUCAUCCAGGACAAGGGAAGGGAGAGAGUGCUAAAAGCUCGGUCACAGAUACGCUCGAUGGUUGUGCAGUUGGGUCGGCGUUUUUUAUUUUGCCUGUGUGCGCUGUGGGCUUGCUAUAUCCCGGUGUGUCCUUUGUUCAGGAUUUUGGAGCGAUUGCAUGAUCUUCGUCAGUAGGGUCAUCUCUCGAGGGCUGUGCAGUUCGGUUCUUUUUCUUUGGGUGUUGGUGUGGGUGUGUGUGUGUGUCUGCGUUUUUUGCCUGUGCAAUGUGGGUUUGCUAUAAACCGGUAUGUCCUUUGUUCAGGAUUUCGGAGCGAGUGCAUUAUCUUCGCCAGCGGGUUCAUCUCAAGGGCUGUGCAGUUCGGCUCUUUUUCUUUUGGGUGUUGGUGUGGGUGUGUUCGUCUGUGUGAUUCUUUACACAUUUCUAGGUUCACGUGGUAUUUCAAAAAAGCAGUUCACUUUCGCCGAUUCAACUUCGUUGCAUAGGAGAUAUCGUCUCUUGGAUCAGGUCGUAUACCUGUAUGUUACUAGCAAUUUCCGCUAGAUUCCCUUUCAUAAUUGCUUGAGGUCAGCAUGUGGUUGCCUGUCCCUUGUUUGGCGAUGCUAGGUGGGCGCUUGCUGUCUUGGCCUGGUUUGUGUGUGUUGUGUCCGUGGACGACUGCGGGAGAGAUGGAGCGAGAGAAAGAGGACGCUGAAGGUAUCCUGCAUAGUUGGACCGUCGCUUAGUUGGCGUGUGUGUGUGUGUGGACGUAUUCCUCCGUGUGAUUCUUCCUGGCAUUUUUAGGUUCUAAAGAUGUCUCAAAAGAGAAGUAAAGUAAUUUCAGCCAUCCAAUGAAGAGGAAGCCUCAUUUCUUGGAUCAGGUCGUAUGAUCAUUUAAUUUUGUUACACGUUCAUUUUUUAGAUGUUUUCGUGUUCCAUGUUCGUUCUUCGGUAUGUUGGGCGGCUUCUUUUUUGCCUGCAGCGUGUAUGUCGUUCGUUCAGGUGUGUGAUUUUUGUCUGUGUGGAGUUUGUUGGUAUGAUCGGCACCGCUUCGAUUGCUUUCGUACUGGUCUGCUAGCAUUUCGGUGUUCUUUGCUGUUGUGUGCAUGUUGCUGUCCCGGUUAUGUCUGUGUCCUUCAUGGCUUAAUCCAGGACAAAGAAUGGGAGAGGCUGUUUAAAAGUGCUGUCGCAGAUACGCUCGGCGGUUGCACAGUUGAGUCGUCUGUCGCUUUUUUUUCUAUUUCUUUUUGGCCUGUGUGCGCUGUGGGCUUGCUGUUUCCUGGUGUUUCCUAUGUUCAGGAUUUUUGAGUGCAUGGUCGUCGCCAGUGGGGUCAUCUCUCGAGGGCUUUGCAGCUCGUUUUUCUUCUUCUUUGGGUGUUGGUGUGGGUGCGUUUGCCUGUGUGGUUCUUUGCACAUUUCUAGGUUCAGACGGCGGGGAUGCUAGAUGGGCGCUUGCUGUCUUCGCCUGGUUUGUGUGUGUGUCCGUGGAGGACUGUGGGAGAGAUGGAGAGAGAGGGCGCGCGCUGAAGGACGGUAUUCUGCCUAGUUGGAUCGUUGCUUUGUUUGGCGUGUGUGUGUGGACGUGUUCCUCCGUGUGAUUCUUCCUGGCAUUUCUAGGUUCUAAAGGUGUCUCAAAAAAAAGAAGUAAACGUCCUUCGUUGAUUUAUUUUCCGGCGUCUAAUGAAGCGGAAGCCUCGUUCGUUUCUUGGAUCAGGUCGUAUGAUCAUGUGUUACUUCUAUGUCCUCUUCUGGAUAUUUUUUUCGGUUGCCAUUGUGUUUCCGUGUUCCAUGUUCGUUCUUCGGUAUGUUGGGCAGUUUCUUUUUUUUGCCUGCAGCGUGUGUGUCGUUCGUUCAGGUGUGUGAUUUUUGUCUGUGUAGAGUUUGUUGGUGUGAUCGGUACUGCGUGGUCGCUAUUAGGUGAAUUCCUGUGCGAUGUUCCUAUUUCAUGGCUCGAGGCACUUGCUGCAAGUCAUUCCUCUGGGUACUUACAUGGAGGCAAAUCUAUUUCAGCUUCGGUGUCCAUUGUCGAUUUCCGUCUCCGCCGGAGUACUGCUGUGUCUUUUCGCCCUUUGUGCGUCUGGCUCUUUGUUCCUAGGUCAAAUCUAUGUGCAAGGCUUGGGGGUGGGAUUUUCUACGUUGAGUGCUGCACUGAAACUCAUUGGGAGCAUCAAGGUACUGGUCCGAGUUCGUUUUGUAGCGUGAGGCUGUAUGGCGGAUGUUUGUUGUCUGUGAUGGUGUUGCUGAAUGUGGGUUCAGUGUGCGUGUUGCAUGCAACCGAUCGUGUGCCAAGUGCGUGUAUUCAGUGGUGGACGAUAUCUUUUUACUUUCCGUGUGCGCUGAGUGCAGCUGAGUGGGUUGAGAGUGUUUUGAAAGCUUCCUACUAGUUCUUACCGUAUGUAAUUGAUGUUAAUUAGCGGGCCCUCCCGCAUGAUAGUCAUCAUGGUGAUCUGUUCAAAUACUUCAUUCAUCUCUGAUGUCCAGUACUGGAUAAGUAUGGUUUCUAUGGUUUUUCUAUUGCCGGAAUGGGAUCUGUAGGUUUUGUUUGUCUUCCGUUGCAUACUAGUAGUUUUCUUUGGUUUUCCGUUGCCCAGUACGCUCACACAUGGGCUUCAUCCUGACUGGUGGACUGCUGCUUAUAUACUACCGGAUUUGUAGGUACAAAGUUACUGGCUGGUUUUGUAGCCUUCUUUCCUUCUUAGUUUCUGGCUUAUGCCCUAGUAUGGCAAUUCUUUACUCUGUCCAUUUGGCAUUGGUAGCAAGUUUCGCUUUUGCCCCAGUUCUAGCUUUGUGCAGUGGGUAUUGGUCAUUGCUAUGCCUGUGCCUGUGGCCACUUGUCUGGCCUGCCAUGCCUGUCCCUGUCCUGUGCCGUGUCUUGCUCCACACGCCAGUGUUCUGUUUCCACCGUAGCAGCCUGCCAAGUCGUCGCUGGGGCUUCACCUGACUUUCGGCGUCAUUCUUUAUUCCCGGUGAGCCUUUUUCCAACUCCUUGUGGUUGCUUGUUUCCUUUCCUUUCUUUGUCUUCCGAAUUCUGUUAUCUUGGAAGGGUAGGGCUGCCUCGUGUAAUCUCUCCCUCUCUCGACAGCUUGCUCAGUUUUAUGUUGUAGCUUGUGUGCUGGCGUGAGAGGGAGAGAUGGUCGUUUCAGCCCGAGGGUGGUGGUGGGCCUUCCUUUUCAUUUUCUUCUUCAUUUUUCAUUCCUGUUGAGCUCCGAUGUGUGAUCUAUAGUGAUUGUUUUGUGAUGCUUGUAUUGACUGAGUGGUUUGCCCUUCCAUGUUCAUCCCUGUACCGGUAUGUCGGUAAGGAAAAUGAGGUUGGUGUUGUAUUGUUUCCAAGUAGUACCUUUGUUUGUUUCCGCAUGGUCCAGGUGUCCGAAAUUCCCCCGCACUAAAGUCGCUCGUCUCUCUAUUGCUUCUCUACUAAUGCUCUGACUAUCUUGAGCUAGUGGGGUUGAGGAUUGGUGCUUAUGGUGGUGGUGAUGGUCUGGUGACGAUAGUUUGGAUCGUGACUGGGGGAAAGUUUCGCUACGGAAUAACUUCAUGGUGUGGAUGUUCUCCCCCUUCUCUCUCUAAGUUCGCUAAAGAGUGUAGCGUGGUGUGCAGACCUGGAGCUCCACGUGUAUCUCUAAAGUGCUGGUGUUCUCAAACGGAUAAGUAACUUACUAGAAUGACUGUGCUCAUAAUGCCUGUCUUCUACAAGACUGACUGGCCUAGUGUUUGGCAUCCGGGAUAGCCGCAUCUACCCUUCAUUGUGACUCUUAUGGUAAAAAUAAAAGUGACAUGAAGGUGGUACUUAAAAUCUUGUAAUUUCGUGUUUGUGUGUUUCUGUACGCGGUCCUGUUGCAUGGUUGUGAUUCUGAAUGCAUGGUCUUACCGAGACAUUGUUCAUGCUGCUGCUGCCCGUCGUGCUUGAGGUGGUCGUACAGUGUGAGCAGUUACCUGGAGGACCCGCCACUCCUUGCAGCCCCACGGGUCCCGACACACCCCGAGGUCCUUGCUCUCCCUGCAAGGCGGACACGCACAAUGGAUAAGAUUAUCAUCACUCAAGACACAUACCGAAACUCAAGGCAGUGUGACAAUGGAGCGGUUGAAAUGGUCCACGUAACGUCUCGAUGUUGUUUGAAAUCCAAUUCUAGGUGUUUGAUAUAGAGUUCAGAGUUCAGGAUUACAUUUUGUUGCUAUUAAUUUACCUCCACAUAUUGAUCCAGGCUGAGUGAGCUUGCACUCUGUACACAAAGGCAAAUGAAGACGAUAGAAUCAUUGGUGCAUGCUUACAUUUAUACAAUAGGUCACUAUGAUAUGUCAGCCAUUCAAAAAUGUUUUUUUUUGCUUUGCACUCUGUACACAAAGGCAAAUGAAGACGAUAGAAUCAUUGGUGCAUGCUUACAUUUAUACAAUAGGUCACUAUGAUAAUGUCAGCCAUUCAAAAAUGUUUUUUUUUGCUUUUUAUUACUUUCUAGAAUGUGUAGGAAUCCAGCUAUGAGCUCUUUCCUGCAUGGCAUCAGUAGUGCUGUUAUAUACUUUCAAGUACUUGCAUGUGUUGCUAGGCAGGGUAUGUGCAUUUUGUAGUUUGCUAUGCAGGAAAGAGCUAGGUUGUAUUCUGAGGGUGGUGGUGGGCCU